rnacentral:rRNA from 1 species
GACGAACGCUGGCGGCAUGCCUAAUACAUGCAAGUCGAGCGAACAGAUGAAGUGCUUGCACUUCUGACGUUAGCGGCGAACGGGUGAGUAACACGUAAGGAAUCUACCUAUAAGCGGGGGAUAACAUUCGGAAACGGGUGCUAAUACCGCAUAAUAUCUUCUUCCGCAUGGAAGAAGAUUGAAAGACGGCUCUGCUGUCACUUAUAGAUGACCUUGCGGUGCAUUAGUUAGUUGGUGGGGUAAUGGCCUACCAAGACGAUGAUGCAUAGCCGACCUGAGAGGGUGAUCGGCCACAUUGGGACUGAGACACGGCCCAAACUCCUACGGGAGGCAGCAGUAGGGAAUCUUCCGCAAUGGGCGAAAGCCUGACGGAGCAAUGCCGCGUGAGUGAAGAAGGCCUCGGUCGUAAAC